AUUGAACGCUGGCGGCAGGCCUAACACAUGCAAGUCGCACGAGUGGCGGACGGGUGAGUAAUGUCUUGGAAACUGCCUGAUGGAGGGGGAUAACUACUGGAACCGGUAUCUAAUACCGCAUACCCUCAGAUGUGGCCAGAUGGGAUUAGCUUGUUGGUGGGGUAACGGCGGACCAAGACGACGCUCCCUAGCUGGUCUGAGAGGAUGACCAGCCACACUGGAACUGAGACACGGUCCAGACUCCUACGGGAGGCAGCAGUGGGGAAUAUUGCACAAUGGGCGCAAGCCUGAUGCAGCCAUGCCGCGUGUAUUAAGAAGGCCUUCGGGUUGUAAAGUACUUUCAGCGGGGAGGCGUUACCCGCAGAAGAAGCACCGGCUAACUCCGUGCCAGCAGCCGCGGUAAUUC
rnacentral:rRNA from 1 species